GGAUCCAGACUUUGAUCAUGGCUCAGGAUGAACGCUAGCUACAGGCUUAACACAUGCAAGUCGAGGGGCAGCAUCAUCAAAGCUUGCUUUGAUGGAUGGCGACCGGCGCACGGGUGAGUAACACGUAUCCAACCUGCCGACAACACUGGGAUAGCCUUUCGAAAGAAAGAUUAAUACCGGAUGGCAUAGUUUUCCCGCAUGGGAUAAUUAUUAAAGAAUUUCGGUCGUCGAUGGGGAUGCGUUCCAUUAGGCAGUUGGCGGGGUAACGGCCCACCAAACCAACGAUGGAUAGGGGUUCUGAGAGGAAGGUCCCCCACAUUGGAACUGAGACACGGUCCAAACUCCUACGGGAGGCAGCAGUGAGGAAUAUUGGUCAAUGGACGAGAGUCUGAACCAGCCAAGUAGCGUGAAGGAUGACUGCCCUAUGGGUUGUAAACUUCUUUUAUACGGGAAUAAAGUUAGCCACGUGUGGCUUUUUGUAUGUACCGUAUGAAUAAGGAUCGGCUAACUCCGUGCCAGCAGCCGCGGUAAUACGGAGGAUCCGAGCGUUAUCCGGAUUUAUUGGGUUUAAAGGGAGCGUAGGCGGGUUGUUAAGUCAGUUGUGAAAGUUUGCGGCUCAACCGUAAAAUUGCAGUUGAUACUGGCGACCUUGAGUGCAACAGAGGUAGGCGGAAUUCGUGGUGUAGCGGUGAAAUGCUUAGAUAUCACGAAGAACUCCGAUUGCGAAGGCAGCUUACUGGAUUGUAACUGACGCUGAUGCUCGAAAGUGUGGGUAUCAAACAGGAUUAGAUACCCUGGUAGUCCACACAGUAAACGAUGAAUACUCGCUGUUGGCGAUAUACGGUCAGCGGCCAAGCGAAAGCAUUAAGUAUUCCACCUGGGGAGUACGCCGGCAACGGUGCAACUCAAAGGAAUUGACGG
rnacentral:rRNA from 1 species